rnacentral:lncRNA from 1 species
CUCUUUGUGUCCACCAGAUGGCGACCCAGCCGCAGAGCCGAACCCCAGGGAGGAGGUUCCUUACCCGAAUGUGCUGGUCCAAGGCGAGGUGGACAAGCCCCAAGGUACGGGAGUCCGGGGCCGCCAUGCGGGACCACGCCGGGGAGCCAGGCCGAGGGUCCGGGGCCGCCAUGCGGGACCACGCCGGGGAGCCAGGCCGAGGGUCCGGGGCAGUCAUGCGGGACCACGCCGGGGAGCCAGGCCGAGGGUCCGGGGCCGCCAUGCGGGACCACGCCGGGGAGCCAGGCCGAGGGUCCGGGGCCGCCAUGCGGGACCACGCCGGGGAGCCAGGCCGAGGGUCCGGGGCCGCCAAGCGGGACCACGCCGGGGAGCCAGGCCGAGGGUCCGGGGCCGCCAAGCGGGACCACGCCGGGGAGCCAGGCCGAGGGUCCGGGGCCGCCAAGCCUGACCACGCCGGGGAACCAGCCCGAGGGACCGGGGCCGCCACGCCUGACCACGCCGGGGAGCCAGCCCGAGGGACCGGGGCCGCCACGCCUGACCACGCUGGGGAGCCAGCCCGAGGGACCGGGGCCGCCACGCCUGACCACGCCGGGGAGCCAGCCCGAGGGACCGGGGCCGCCACGCCUGACCACGCCGGGGAGCCAGCCCGAAGGACCGGGUCCUCCAAGGGGAGGAUACAGCAGGGCAGGAGCCCUGUGGUUGCCGCCGUCCGCCCCGCCGCCUCCACUGAUGGUACUGUUGGGGCUCCGAGGACGUAGCCCUUGGAGGGGGGGCUCUGUCAGGAUUGCCUGCAGCUGGGCUCCACACCGGAAUGCAAUCCUGACGCCCCAUAAAUGCCGGAAGUUUUCGCCCGUUCGGGGUCGCUGGCAUUUUCGUGAACUUUAGUUGGUAACACUGUUCGUAAUUUGAGUUCUGGCAAUCGCCACACGCCUACGGGUUAGUUUCAGUUCCUUAUUUAAGUUAAAUCGUUUUCGGCCACCGCGCCAGUCUUUAUUUGUGUUUCUUUAUUGUUUAUUUGUUAAUAAAAACCCCUUCCCAAC